GACGAGCUCUCCAAACGUUAUUCGGUAUUACUGGGCUUAAAGAGUUCGUAGGCGGCUUUGUAGGUGAGGUGUGAAAGCCCUCGGCUUAACCGAGGAACUGCGCUUCAAACCGCAAGGCUAGAGGGAGAUAGGGGUAAGCGGAACAGAUGGUGGAGCGGUGAAAUGCAUUGAUAUCAUCUGGAACACCGGUGGCGAAAGCGGCUUACUGGAUCUUUUCUGACGCUGAGGAACGAAAGCUAGGGUAGCGAACGGG
rnacentral:rRNA from 1 species